UACGGAGGGUGCGAACGUUAAUCGGAAUCACUGGGCGUAAAGCGCGCGUAGGCGGUUCGUUAAGUGGGAUGUGAAAUCCCCGGGCUUAACUUGGGAAUUGCGCUCGAAACUACUUGGCUGGAGUGUGGCAGAGGAAGGUGGAAUUCCAGGUGUAGCGGUGAAAUGCGUAGAGAUCUGGAGGAACACCGAUGGCGAAGGCAGCCUUCUGGGCCAACACUGACGCUCAUGCACGAAAGCGUGGGGAGCAAACAGG
rnacentral:rRNA from 1 species